CCAAGACGAUUGCCGCGUGGCGCGGCGCAAGCUCGCGCUUACGGGGAGGAAAGUCCGAACACCAUAUAGCGUUCCCGACUUUUCGGGAAGGGUAGCUCCUAACGGGAGCCGUUGUGUCGAGUAAUCGGCACGCAGGACAAGUACAACAGAGAACAGUCCCGUCCGCCACAGGGGCGGAUAAGGGGUGAAACGGUGGGGUAAGAGCCCACCAGCUCGGGUGGUAACACCCAAGGCUAGGCAAACUCUACCCGGUGCAAUACCAAGUAGGUCCGCUCAAGCGGACGGGUUGGUAGCUCGAGUCCUGCUGCGAAGCAGGACCUAGAUAGAUAAUCGCCUCCGCCUCUGGCGGAACAGAAUUCGGCUUACUGGCGAG
rnacentral:RNase_P_RNA from 1 species